rnacentral:lncRNA from 1 species
GCUCACAAAAUAAUGAAACAUCAUUCAAUAAAGAAUCUCAACCAUUAUCUCUUAUAGCUUAUAGUCUUAUUUUGGACACGUUUACUAACUUCAUAGCAUUUACAAUAUCUUGAUCACUUCUUUGUAAUGCUUGAGAUAAAUCAUGUGUAAUUCCUAAAAGUAUUUUCACCAAAUGCAAGAUGAAAAUGAAUUCAAAAGAUUGCAUAUAAUUCAUCAACAUUAAUGCUUCACCUUUUUUUAUCUUAAUUUGUCUCAUCUUCCUUAACCAUUUCUAGCACAUCAAUCAUAGAAGAGAAUAGAGAAACUAUACUAAGUAAUGUACCAUAAUGUGAGCUCCAUCUUGUUUCCACUGCCUUCUUAAUUGUCAUUUCUUGAUUCUAGCCACGUCCACUAGAGAUUUCUCCAUGUUUCAAUGCUUCUUUCACCUUUGUAGCUUUACUUUCACAAAGAAUAUCUCGGUGCUUACAUGAUGCUCCAACAACAUUAUACAAAUUAGCAACCAAAUUAAAAAAUAAAGCAAUUUUAGAAUGCUUUUUUGCUAAUACCACAAGAGCUAAUUGGAGUUGAUGGGCAAAACAAUGAAUAAAAAAUGCAGAACAAUUCUCUUUUAAAAUCAAACUUUUUAGACCAUUGUAUUCACCUUGCAUAUUACUUACUCCGUCAUCG